rnacentral:snRNA from 1 species
AACCUUGCGCAGUGGCAAUAUCGUAACCAAUGAAGGCCUCCUGAGGUGCGAUUAUUGCUAGUUGAAAACUUUUACCAAUACCCCGCCAUGAAGCCGUGAAACACCGACUCCAUAGGCAAUUUUUGAAAGCCCCUACGGGGG